rnacentral:rRNA from 1 species
CCCUUAGAUGUCCGGGGCUGCACGCGCGCUACACUGAAGGAAUCAGCGUGCUAAAACCAUUGUCGAAAGGCAUUGGUAAACCCAUUAAAAUCCUACGUGAUUGGGAUCGGGAAUUGCAAUUAUUUCCCUUGAACGAGGAAUUCCCAGUAAGUGUGGGUCAUAAGCUCGCGUUGAUUACGUCCCUGCCCUUUGUACACACCGCCCGUCGCUGCCCGGGACUGAGCCGUUUCGAGAAAAGCGGGGACUGCUGCUGUCUGGGCUUUCGGGCCUUGGCUUCGGUGGAAACCGCUUUAAUCGCAGUGGCUUGAACCGGGCAAAAGUCGUAACA